GGCAUUCAUCUAAAGAUGGAAACUGGCCAA
rnacentral:piRNA from 1 species